AGAGUUUGAUCCUGGCUCAGGAUGAACGCUGGCGGCGUGCCUAAUACAUGCAAGUCGAGCGGUAAGGUUCUCACUCUGUAUUUAACUAGUUUGAAUAUGGUGUGAGAAUACACGAGCGGCGGACGGCUGAGUAACGCGCAGGAACGUACCCCGAAGUGAGGGAUAAGCACCAGAAAUGGUGUCUAAUACCGCAUAUUCUCUUAGGAGCAAAGCAUUUAUGCGCUUUGGGAGCGGCCUGCGUACGAUUAGCUUGUUGGUGAGGUAAAAGCUCACCAAGGCGACGAUCGUUAACUGGUCUGAGAGGAUGAUCAGUCAGACUGGAACUGAGACACGGUCCAGACUCCUACGGGAGGCAGCAGUAGGGAAUUUUCCACAAUGGGCGAAAGCCUGAUGGAGCAACGCCGCGUGCAGGAGGAAGGCCUUCGGGUCGUAAACUGCUUUUAUGUGUGACGAUUUUGACGGUAGCAUAUGAAUAAGGACCGGCUAACUCCGUGCCAGCAGCCGCGGUCAUACGGAGGAUCCAAGCGUUAUCCGGAAUUACUGGGCGUAAAGAGUUGCGUAGGUGGCAAAGUAAGCGAAUAGUGAAAUGAUCCCGCUCAACGGGGUACCCAUUAUUUGAACUGCUUAGCUUGAGAAUGAGAGAGGUAGAUGGAAUUGCUAGUGUAGGAGUGAAAUCCGUAGAUAUUAGCAGGAACACCGAUGGCGUAGGCAGUCUACUGGCUCAUUUCUGACACUAAGGCACGAAAGCGUGGGGAGCGAACGGGAUUAGAUACCCCGGUAGUCCACGCUGUAAACGAUGGAUGCUAGCUGUUAGAAGUAUCGACCCUUCUAGUAGCGAAGCUAACGCGUUAAGCAUCCCGCC
rnacentral:rRNA from 1 species